UAUAAACUUAUUCUAUGAUAUUUUACAAUUUUCAUUCAAAUAUAACGUUUUAAAGUUCUUAUUUAUAAUUUUAGGAUAUUGAAAAUAUGUUUUCUGAUGGUGAAUUCGAUUUUCUUAUUGAGAAAUCUUUGCAGCGCCAAGAAAUCUGUAAUGUUCAGGUUGAUAAUAAUAAGUUUCUUACUUCAACACCAAAUAAAAUUUCUACCUACAAAUUAAAAUUACGGGUAUCUAGAA